CGUAGGGUGCAAGCGUUGUCCGGAAUUAUUGGGCGUAAAGAGCUCGUAGGCGGUUUGUCGCGUCGGCUGUGAAAUCUCGGGGCUCAACCCCGAGCCUGCAGUCGAUACGGGCAGACUUGAGUGCUGUAGGGGAGACUGGAAUUCCUGGUGUAGCGGUGAAAUGCGCAGAUAUCAGGAGGAACACCGGUGGCGAAGGCGGGUCUCUGGGCAGUGACUGACGCUGAGGAGCGAAAGCGUGGGGAGCGAACAGGAUU
rnacentral:rRNA from 1 species